GAAAUUAAAUGAUUCCCUACUAUGGAACUAGGAAAUUUGAAUGACAGGACCAAUGAGCAGAAAAAUGUUUCUGUUUCUGACACUUCAACUUCUGUGAACAAUACUGAAAUUUCAGUAAGGGGUAGAGCGACUGCAGAUGAUGAAAUUGCAUUGGACUGGUCCUUACCAAUACGCAGCUAUACCAACAAAACCUAUAGAUAAAACUAACUACGCUUCAGGCCUAGAGGGGAGCAGUUUCUGGUUCGAUGGGCUAUUCCACGGUUGCACGAUAUAGAUGCAUUAUCAAUAAUGGUUGAUCCAUCACUAAAUGGUUGUUAUCCAUCCAAGUCUCUGUCUUGGUUUGCUGCCAAAAUUUCCUUCUGUAUUAAGGUCAGGCUCUUCCUUUAAAUGUUUCUUAUAGCUCUUUAAUGAAGUGUAAAGUCCCACUUACAGAUUAUGAGUUUCUGCGUAUGAGAAACUUUACUGGUUAUACUUCAUAAAAUGAUUCUCCAAUCUACCUAAAUUCUGGUGUUUUGAUUAAAUGACUCUGUUUUGGAUAAAAUUACUUUAUCAUAGACUGCAUAUAACUAUUACCAACAAGAAAACAAACUCUACGUUCGAUGGCUGGCAACAAUGCUGAUGAAUUUGGAAUAAAAUUCAAGGAGCCUGGCAAGUCAUUAACAAUAGUUAUCUCAAUUAGAAAAUGCAGAAGCAAUGGAAUAUAUAUCAUCUUAAACAAAGAAAUGAAGGGAUGAGGUGUAUAAGGAUUACUUUGAGUAAUCGUACCACUAAUACUCAGCUAUAUCAACAGAACUUAUAGAUAGAACUAACAACACUUCAGCGGCUGGAAGUAAUGCAGAUUACUUUGAGAUAACAUUCAAGGGCUGGCAAGGCAUCAACAUGAGUAGUCUCAAUUGGAAAAUGCAAAAUUCAUGGUGAUGCAGAUAGUCUAAAAUAGAGAAAGGAUGGGACGUGCUGUGUAAGGAGUAGCUUAAGUAAUUAGAACACUAAUACACAGCUACACCAACAAAACCUAUAGAUAAAACUAACUAGACUCCAGGCCUAGUGGGGACCAAUUUCUGGUUCGAUGGGCUAUUUCACAGGCCUAGAGGG
rnacentral:lncRNA from 1 species